rnacentral:misc_RNA from 1 species
AAUUCUCAACUUCAUCAACUUUGUUGUUGAAGCUUGGAUGUGGGGGUUUUGCAGGUCUGCCUUAAUUGUGUGGUCUGCUCUCCUGAAAUAUAUUAGCGGGUUGGCUUCCCUCUAUCAGUGUGAUAAUUAUCUACGCUGUGGAUGGGUUUGGCUUUCAGACCAGCUUCUAAUCGUCCUUCUAGGACAAUCUCGUGACAU